rnacentral:ncRNA from 1 species
CGAAAACAGAGUAGCAGGGUGGUGAUUCCUGCGCUAUCUUCCAAGAGAGUUCUGCCUUGUCCUCG